rnacentral:lncRNA from 1 species
GAGAAUGAAGAUCAGAGAUUUUCUUUUUACUGUAAACAGGAGGGGUUUCCCCCUGCUGUGUAUUUAUUUAUUAAGAAAAUGCGAACCAGCUUACAUAAAAGUUCAAGAGACAAAAAAAGGGAAAGAAAGUAAACAAAUAAGCAAAAAUUACAAGAUGGCUUCUAGCCAUUGUUGUAUGGAAGGAAAGUAUAUGUUAUAUGGAUGUAAAUAAGUACUUCUUUGCUCUGUGAAUAACCAGAGCAAACUCCAAUGCCAUAUAUAUUACACAUACAUGAUAGCCGGAGCUUGCAUUCACAUAUAUGUUCCUCACCCAACGCUAGUUGCAGUAGUUUUUUCUAGCAGGUAUAUGUAGGGGGAGAGAUCGAUCGAGAUGGAUGAUGCCAACAAUGGAUACAUCAGCAGCAUAUAUAGAAGCAAAGGAACCAACAGCAGCAAAAGGUGAAAAAAAGAAGAAGAAAGAAACCAAGGUGUGUGUGUGACCCCAAGGAUGCAAAACCGAACGAACAGGUUGAGAGGCAGCAGCAGGCAGCCAUAUGCCAUUAGCUCACGCAGGAGCUAGCUAGCAGUUUAAUCACUCGCUGCCCGCGGGCUUGUAGGCGAUGAAGCUGACGCACUGCGUCUGCUUGAUGUUGUCGAAGCCGAGGAUCCGGACGUAGGCGUCCGGGUAGGAGGCGAUGGCCUCCUGCAGCUCCUUGUAGACCUGCGACGCGUCGGUGCAGCCGAACAUGGGCAGCUUCCACAUGGUCCAGUAGCGGCCGUCGUAGUAGCACGGGGAGGUGGAGUUCUCGCGGUACACGAAGCCUUCCUUGCUGAACUCGAGGCAGGGCACCCAGUUGUUGCGCAGCAGGUAGUCCACCUGCUUCAGCAGCUGCUCCUCCGUCAGCGGCGGCAGGUACGACAGCGUCUCGAACUUCUUGUUCCCGUACGCCGGCCACACCUGCAAAUUAAUGCAUGCAUCGAUCGAUGUACGUGUUUGUGGUUGCAUUUCGCUAGCUCUGCUGCAAAGAAUGAAUGAAGAUGGCCGGCCGGAGCCAAGAACGAAAGGCCAACUAGCUCUUGUGUUAAUUAUGUUGUUAUUACCUGCAUGCACCGGAUCCUGCCGCCGUUGCUGACUUUGGCGAGGCUGGUGGUGGAGCGGCGGGCGACGGGGAGGGUGGCGGUGGACUUGAGACCCUGGAACGGAGCGACGGCGGUGGCGGACGAGGCCAUCACGGUGGGCGCCAUUGCUGCUGCUAUGUAGUACUAGUAGCUAGUGAGGGAGCGAGCUGAGAGUGAGCUGCUUGCUGUUUUUGCUGCUUCUUGCUGCUUGGGUCGUCCUGUAGGCUCCCCCACCGAGGGCAUAUAUAGAAGAGGCAGCGAGCGUGCGUCCAUGGCGACGGAUGGCUGUCGUUGGGGCAAGGACGGAUCGGACGAAUGAAGCGGAUGUGGGAGGAGUGGCCACCGUUGUCCCAUGGCGGGCAACCCGGCCAGCCUGGCCUAUCCUGAUCGCGUCCGCCGCCACAUGUCGCGUCCCCGUGGCGCGCCUUAUCGUCUCAGCCAGCCAACAUGUCCAUGGAGCCACGCCACGCCACGCCAUGGUUGGACUAUAUGUGAUGUGCCACCACUUUAAUUAUUUGUAGAUAGAUAGAUAGAUAGAUAAGCUAGCCGCAGGUAGUAGUGCAGUGGUGAAAGUCACUACUACUGACUGCAAACCAAAAUUUCCCUGGCCGUGCCCGGACUCGCUCGCUGUCUCCGAUUAAACCUAGGUAUAUGUUGAGCAGGACGUCCCCUGGCCGUCGCCAUGGCCGGACUCGCUCGAUCUCUAGGAUCCGAGGUGGUCCUGCUCUGCUCCGUCGUCGGCGAAGAUGAAGACACACCCACUCGUCGUCCCCUUCCUCAUGCAAAUCUGCGCCGCACAAGCUGUUUCCAAAAUUUCGCUGGCCGUGGCCGGACUCGCUCGCUAUCUAUCUCCGGUCUCCCGUCGCCGAUCAAACCGAUCGAGCAGGACGUCGCCGCCGUGGCCGGACUCGCCCUCUAGCUCGUCGUCCACGAUCGAGCCAGGAUCCGGCCGAGGUGGUCGUGGUCCUGCUGCUCGGUCGGUGAAUGACUGACUCGUCCCCUUCCUCCUGCUGCAAAUCUCCGCCGGACGCAUGCAUCCGCCGUCUCUCUCAAGCAGAAGCAGUUCCAUUCAGCUCGAUCGUCGUGGUUUGUGAAAGGAUAAGUGAAGAACGACGACAAUGGAAGGGGAAAAAAAGACAAACAGUUUUGGGCUUGGGCUUGCUUCGGCUGCGUCUGCUUGCUCUUCGCCUCUAGUGCUCUCGUCCCUCUCACAUGUUCUACUACAUUCUACACGGACGGCUGCUCCGGACCACCUGAUGAUGCACUGAUGAUCACGGCCUGUUUGGAUCUAUAGAAUUAAUUGGGCUGAAUUUGGAAUCAGUUUCAUGGGUCUCGGCUAGUUUGGCUGCGCAUUGAACUGGAAAGUGACAUUCCAAGCUGUUCCAGAGCCUGAAUUUGUGGCCUAGCUACCUCAAAUUCAUGGGCUAUCCAAGACAAAACGAGUCCGCCUCCUCAUUGUCUUCAUCGGGCGUACGACGCUUCAUUCCUCAACCAUUUGACCUGUUCUAUAUUUCUAAAAAGAAAAGCCGCCCGCCUUGACCAUUACGAAAAAUACAUAAACGAUUCGCUAAAGUUGCAUUUAAAUUCCCCACGUUUGUCAUUUCUAAAGAUAAAUUUAAAAAGCCUUCUAAAUUGCAAUUAAUUACCGAAACAUGCCUAAAAAUGCGUCUGCAUUUUUUUUUACUAUGAAAGGUACUAGACACAUAUUCACGCAUUGCCGCGGGAUUUUCUUAAAAAUAAUCUGUUUUGUAUAUAGCAAUGCUAUAUGGUAUUCUGUAUAUUGUGUGUAUAUUUAUGAAUUUGACUUGCAUGUUAUUUUAUUGUAUCGGAUCUAGUAAAAAAACAAUAAGCUAAUAGAAAAAACCAAUAAAAUAGUUGAUUGCGUUAUACAAGAAUAGGUGAUGAAACAAAUAACAUAUGUAAAUAACUUUACAUCUACAUAAUAGAGAUGAUGAGGAUAUUUUUUGUAAUUAAUAAGGGAUGACAUUUACGUUAAUAGGUUAGAGAUUAAAAGUAUUGCACAUAAUAAAGAUGAUGUGAAUAUAUUUUAUAAUUAAUAAGAGAUAUUGUGUAAUUCGAAAAAAAGGAUGCAUGACAUGGAUAGCUUGCAUGAAAGGAUUGCAAGUUAGUGGGACACUUAUGGGGUGUUUGAAUCUUGGGACUAAAGUUUAGUCCUUGUCAUAUGUUGGGUACUAAUUAGUAGAAUUAGACAUGAGCUAAUUAUAAAACUAAUUACAUAAGUUGUGGCUAAUUCACAAGAAAAAUCUAUUAAGCCUAAUUAAUCCAUUGUUAACACAUGUUUACUGUAGCACCACAUUGUAAAAUCAUACACUAAUUAGGCUUAAUAGAUUCGUCUCAUAAAUUAGCUACAAUCUAUGUAAUGAGUUUUGUAACUAGUGUAUAUUUAAUAAUACUCUAAAUUAGUAUACAAACAUCCAAUGUGAUAGAAACUAAAGUGAGGGAUGAUAUUAACACCUUGCAUUCAGAGAGAAAACAUCUAGUCGGGUCCAGCUUUAUAAAAGUAUAUAGAUUACAAAGUAACACUAAAUGUGCCUUUUUAGAUUACAUAUAUCUAAACAAUGUAAAUACGCCACAAAUGUUUGUCUUACCUAUAAUAUAUAUUGUACAAAAUAAUUCAGUAACCAUAAAAAUAUGCUAUAUAUAUUUCUAUACACAUUCUACCAUUGUAAAAUUAAAAGUAAGCAUUAAUGCUACGGGUCAUCAUGUAGACAAAGUAAACAUGCUAUUGAUACGAUAAACAAUUUACAAUGAGUCAUCUAGCCAUUUUUCUGGCUAGGAACUCAACGAAAUGGGCAAAACAGCUAUUUAAAUGGGCGUCAAUGGUCGAAUAAACAGAAAUGACAGACCACCAUGCAAUGUUCAAAUGAGGUUUAAGCAGGCUAAGUGAUGGUUUACUCGAACCAUGGUACAAACAUAGCAAAAAACAAAAAAAAACAUUACAACAAGCAUUAGAAAAAACAUAUAGCUUGUUUCUACUGUCCCACCGCAAAAACCACCUAAAGCUAUGAUUAAGCUUUUCAAAAUUUAGGGAUUUUUUUGUAAAUAAAACUGACCCUGUAAAUAUUUUUCAAAACCAAGAACUAAAAUGUUGUAGUUCUUACCUCCAAAUAAUUACAGAAAAGCUUAGAGGUCUUUUUUGUAAAAUUGUCAUUUUCAAAAUGAUUUUAAAUCUAAAAAUGUUAUGACAUAAUCAAUUGGAUUAAUGACAUUAGCAUAUAUUUUUGAAAUGAAUUAAUCAUUUCAUAAGAGAAAUAAUUUGGUUAGGGACUUGUUUGUAAAUAACCUUAGAUAUCUAGAUGGCAAUAGCUCCGCCGGUCUUUUGCCAAAAUAGUGCUUUGGCGGUUGUGAUCAUCAGCAAGCGAUAGAGAUAGCUGAGCAAGCCACGAUGAACAAGGGGAGGUUACCUUUAUAAUGAAGAGGCACAAGAGGAGGAGAUAGGGAGGGUGGUUAGCACCUCUGCUUGAGGUUGGCGGCGGCACAACUGCACAACGAUAGAGGCUGGGCAAUGGGUGGCACACUAGAGUGAGAUUGCUCGGGUGGAGGAAUCUUAUAUAUGGUGGUGGUGGAAUUUCUUGAGGACGCCGGAGAUGGGAGAAAAAGGUUGCUGAAGUCUUGCUAGAAAAAUCGCUAGCAAAAAGUCUUGUUUUAGAUCUAUAGAGUUUUUGGUGAUGCCUCAAGAAAUGGAUUCUAGAUCUGUGAUCAUCGCGAUGAGGACAAAAGGUUCUAGGAAAAGUACUAGAGAUAGAAGGAUGAGAAACUAAGAUUUUAGAGAUCAUUAGAAGUUUUGUUUCAAAGCUUAAAAUUUUAAAAUAUUAGUCUUAAUGGUAGGAGGAAUUGAUAAAUAUUACUCAAGUUAAGUCCUUCUACCCCGGUAUGUAUUCUACCACUGGAUUUUAACUUAUUUGGUUGAUUGCUCUCCCCACCGGACACGUCAGCCUAUACCCUUUCAUGUAGAGAAACACUAGUGUUUGCUAAAGGAAUAUUGAUAUGGAAACUUUUUUUCACCGUUUUACAUACCCGACGAAACACACACCCACGCACCCCAUGACCCAUGAGCCCGCCAUGGCCAACGGCCCAUAAGUGUCGCCGUUGUUGAUAAAGACGAGCUCGCUGGUGUUAGGGUUCUAGGUUUAGGGGACUCCAUGUCCGGCGGCCUUACAAAGGGAAGGGAGCUAGCGGUGGCGGCUAGCCUUGCGGUGGUAGCGGGUUGAUGUAGCAAGCAAGGUGGUGGGGGUGUUAUCGAUCGGAAGGUGGGAGACAACCGGUUGGCGGGGGCGAAGGUCAAGUGUCUUCCUCCUCGUGCUAAGAUUAGCGGAGGGUGAGGUGGUGUGAUGGGGCGGGCCAGCCGCGGCGGAGGCGCCACUGGCCGAGGCGGUGGGCGUGGAACUGUGGAAGGUGGAGGUGGGGUGUGAGCAGGGUUUAGAAAGAUGACGAGGUUGGAGCGGAGGUUAACGAAGAAUAACACAGGACGGGAUGGGGUAGCGCGUGAACCCGUCACGCAUUAACGUGGUCCCUUCAACAUGAGGAGCAGAUCGAGCGCCCAUCACGGCGUGGAUGCGCUCGGCUGUCUUGCACUCUCGCCGUCGCUGUCGUCGUUUGUCCGACGCCCUGAAUAGUAAAUCCUUCCCGGGUUAAACUAAUCGACUCGCCAUCUCCGUUCUCCCGUCGUCCCCGAUUAAACCGAGGUAUAUAUUGUGACUUACAGGACGUGGUGGGCGUGUCCGUGGCCGGACUCGCUCGCUAGCUGCUCGAUCGUGCACGAGCCAGGAUCCGACGAGGUGGUCCUGCUCCGUCGGUGAAGACUCCUCUACUCGUCCCCUUCCUCGUGCAAACCUGCGCCGCACAAGCUCAGCCGUAAGCUGCUCAGGCUGCCGUAAGACGCCGCAUGCAUCCGCCGUCUCUAUCAACUCUCAACCAGAUAGGCUCGUCGUCGUUUGUGAAAGGAUAUAAGUUAAGGACGCCAUGGGCAAAGGACAAAGGAAAUUAAAAGAUAUUUAUUUCAGUUUUGGGCCUUGGACGUACUUUCAGCUGCGUCUGCUUGCUAUUGUAGUCUGGCCUCUCUCACCUGUGGUGUGGGUGCCGCUUGUCGUGACUAUCGAUCUUCCUUGAUAUUGCUAAUUGGCACGACUCAAGCAGAAGAACAAGACAAAAAAAAGUUCACACACAACUUCCUUGUCGUGAUUAUCUUCAUUAAUAUUGCUACUUGGAGGCUUCUCAGUAUAUCUACGUCAAUCCUUAUGAGAUGCGGAAGGAAAAUUGACAAAUCGUGUAGGCAGUUUCAUAAAAAAAAAUCAGAAACAUCUAGCUUUUAAUUUUGUAGAUUUCAAUCAUCGCCACUAGUAAUACACCGUUCGACCUAUUCUCUUUUUCUAAAAAAAAUACCCAUCCGCCUCGACCAUUACGAAAAAUACAUAAACUAUUCCCUAAAGAUGCAUUUAAAUUUCCCAUUUCUCAUUAUGAAAGCUAAAUUUAAAAAAACCUCCUCACAUCGUAUUAUUUAAUUAACGAGACAUGCCGUUAACACUAAGUUUGCAUUUAUAUUACACACAUCUACCAUUAUAAAAAACAAUGUAAAUUCGCUAUUGUCCUACUUAUGCAUCUACACAAUUAACUAAAUAUCCUUCAAAUGUUUGACGUAAUACCAAUAUAAUCCAUUAUAGAAAACAAUCCAAUAACCAUAAAAAUGUCCUAUAUAGAUUUCUAAAUUACACAUUCCUUCUACCAUUGUAAAAUUAAAAGCUAGCAUUAACGUUGUGUUUCACCAUGUAGACAAGGUAAACAUGCUAUUUUAAUAGUUUAUCACUUAUGAAAAAUGUUCCCUAACCGAGAACAUACCAAUGACAUAGACACAAUUCACUUUAAGUUAUAUUAAUAUUUCAUGAUAACACUUUUUGUAGGUUUAAUCAGUUUAUAAAUGUAAAUGAAAUAUUAUCACUUAUAAAUACGUUAAUUUAAUUUAUGCUAUCUAUGUUUUCAUAAUACAAUAAUAUUACUACACUAUACAAUUCUUAUUUGUAGUAAAAAGAUUCAACAUCUUUAGGGUCGUGGCGCAGGUUAAAACAAUUUUUUAUGUUAUUGUAGUAACUAAGAGCCUAGUUAAGGCUGCAGAAUCUAUUUUUGAUUAAAAUAUAAAAUAUAAGAUUGAUAUUUUGAAUAAAAGAUACAAUAAGCACUAGACUCAACUUAACACGUGGAUAAGACAAUUGCAACAACUAAUAAAUCAGAAGUGAAAGUCAAAAUAGAUAUGAAGUCGCAAAAAUGUAUGUGACAAGAGCUAAUAUAACUGAAAUUUAGGAUUUAGCUAAAUACACAUUAAAGGCCCACAGAGGUGUAAUGCAGAUGAUGAAAACACAUAUAGACUUACUGGUAAAUUUUGACAAUCGGAUUAUGAUUCUAGAGUAUCUAAAGGUUUUGUGUUUGUAAGAUGAAUUCAGUGAAUAUAGAGAGUAAAGAUCAUCAUUUUGUUUAGGUUUUAUGUAGACUAUUUGUUUAGAUUUAGUAUAACACAGACACUUACAACCACACACACUAACCCCUAUAAACACACACAUGCAAACCCUAGACCUAUGAGGUACCUUCUAAGACGGGACCGACAAAUCCUCGAGACGAGAUUGAUGAAGUCACCACAAACGCUUUAUUGUCAAUGUGAACAUCAUCUACCACUGAAAUCAUAAAGUCGUUAAAUCCUAGAAUAUUCGCUCCUACGGGGAGUCAAACUUAGGACCUCAGGUGCUAUUGAGGUUCUGUGACCACUAGGCUACAUGCACUAAUUUACACAUAGAACUUCAAAUACAUCCCUAAAUACGAGAAAAUUGUAGAAAUCAUCUGUGUAGCAGUGCAACUUGGUGAUGCAAGCUUUUGUAUAUGAAAAAUAGGAGAAGAGAACAUUGCUGUAUGUAAAUGGAUUUCAGUUAUGCUUUUUUCUUGUGUUAAUAUUCUUAAUAAACAUAUUCUGUCCUGUGCAUGAAAAACAGAGGUUGGCAGCGCAAGGGGGAGAAAACAGAAUGAGAAGAAAGAGGCUCUGAUCCUAACCAUUGCUGGUUGUUCCUUGGAUGGCUGAGAGAUGCUGCUAGUGCUACUACUGCUUAAUUAUGUGCAGUAGCAGCACCCGAUCUUGAUCGCUCACAGUGGUGAGCCAGUCUUUAUUGGGUCUUGUUUAGUUCCGAAAAGUGAAAAGUUUUCGGUAUUGUAGCACUUUCGUUUGUUUGUGACAAAUAUUAUUUAAUCAUGGACUAACUAGGAUCAAAAGAUUCGUCUCGUGAUUUACAGCUAAACUGUGUAAUUAGUUUUUGUUUUAAUCUAUACUUAAAUGUUUCAUGCAUGUGCCACAAGAUUCGAUAUUACGGAGAAUCUUAAAAACUUUUUGAUUUUCAGGGUGAACUAAACAAGACCUUGGUCUAUAUAGACCAUUUUUCCUUUAUAUUGUGGCUGCCCUAUGUGCCUCAUGCAGUCAUGCAGGUCUCUCGAACUGUCACCUAUCUGACCGGGUAACAGUUUGUCUCCCUAGAGAAGCAAAGCCUUGAUCAAUUCCAAUGAAAGUCGUCGGUCCGGAACCCAAGAAAAUUAAGUUAUAGUGUUUGCAGUUCAGGCAGACAUGCAUGCACAACAAUCAAUUGAGCCUGCAGAAGGCAGGCAUGGAAAUGCAAAACCAUAGGCUGCUAUAUAUCCAGCGCCAGCUAGCCCAUGCAUGGUACGUGUGUACGUGCAUCAUCCAUGGCACCAAAUUAAACAGGUAGCCCCCGUCUCGCCUCUAAAUUUUGCAGGGGAAGCAGCAUUGUAGCAAACCCUACUGCCUCGGAUUUAUAUAUUCCUAGAACAAUUUCAUUUAUUGGUCCUGGGUAAGCCAUUUUUCAGUGUCAACAAUACGAAGCUAUAGGCUCAAAAAGUCAAAUAUAUAUUUGCAACAUAAGGUUAACAUUACUGCUAGAUGGACCAUCACAAAAGUACUUUUCAUAAUAUUUACAGAAAAUAUAUCAUGGAGUAAUAUAACUCUAUUUAAGAUAAUAUAUUGUUUGGGAUGUCAUAUGCGAGCAUGGACUAUUACUUUGUAGAUCUGUGUGUUCUCCUAAGGUUGCUAAUAUUAAGCGGUUCGAGAGUACUCCAAACCUCCAUACUGAAUGUUCAUCAGCCUAGUUGGCAUCACAGUAUUAUAUCACCUGAAGGUUCCAACUCACUGAUUACAUCAGCAUCUCCAAGAGUUUCCAAUAAUUUUUCCCAAAACCACAGAGUUUUCUAUCUCGCCAAAAAUUAUUAGGAUGAAUAAAUAAGACCAUCUCCAACAGUUAACAAUAAUCUACUCCUAAAAUAUAAAAAAUAAGUUUUACAUUAGGAAUCCUAUACUAUUUCUAAAUUAUCCAAACCACUUUUACAUAUUAUUUCUCUUUUUUAUAUUUGUAUCAGAAACCAUUUACUACUCUUUAUUAUUUCUCACAUCCUUCCACCUUUAUAGUGGCCGAUGGAUAUGCACGCGCGUGGUAGACGCGUGGAUAUAUUUGCGUGAUCGGUCUUUUUUCCAAGCAUGGAAGGAUUGGGAGGUGAGAUUGGGAACUAAUGGAGAUAGAUUUUUUCCAUUCUUGCCAAAAAUCUUAGAUUGGGAGGCUUUAUUGGGAACUCUUGGAGAUGCUCUAGGAAGCAAUGCUAGCACGAGCCAUAAACAUGCAAGUAUCGAUGUGGAGUCAAUAUGGCAAGAUAUUAGUCUUGCUAUACCUUAAUUGGAUAGCUAGAAUUAUUUACUCUUCCUCUUCUUUGCUUAGUCUAUAACCUAUGCCACCCUGUAAGCCCUAGAGCAAUAAGCCAUUCAAAUGGAGGACGGAUAUCAAUUCACUUGAAACUUUAUAUGGGCUAUGGUUUCAUUCACAUGUUCAUCGACCAAGUGCAGCGAGUGACAUGUGGGCCCCAUUUUCAAAAACCUCUCAUUGUGGCCCCAAGACUCUGCCAAUGAACUCGAGUUGAAUGGAAAGAAAUCACAAUGCCCCACACAACAAAGGGUGAUGGGUGGGCAUAGUGUGGAAGCAUCAUGCUGCAUAUUUAGGAGGUAGAGGUUAUGUGAAGUGGUGGUGUGCAUAGUGCGCAUGAGGGGUCUGGCAGGUAGGCUAGCUAGAGCAUAGUUGCACACUAGUGGCCAGUGGUAUGACCUAUCAAGAUGGAUAGGAAUAGAGUUAGCAAGUCUAAGGCCAGAUACAUAUGGCAAUUUGAAGUGUUUUUGUUUCCACUUUGAGUAUUUGAUUCAAAAUUAUUUUUCACAAAUUUCUCAUGCUCUUUGCUAUGUUAUCUACUGGCCCAUAGUUCAAAUUUAUUUUAUUUCCUUUACCACUGUGCAAGAAUUUGCUUUGUUAUCCACCUGCCAAAGUUUAGUUUGGAUGUAUGAUCUCUUGGAAGUCUUCAGGUCUAUUAAUUGAUGGUGAGGUUGGUUUCUUGGUCAAAUUACCUCAUGCUGGCAAGAUAUUUCCAUAGGGAUGCGCUCGGGCACAACAAGGCACACAAGUGUUGCUGAAUAUGGUGAUAAGGUGUGGAAAAGAUAUAAUUGGACACAUGCGAGUUGUCUAGACACAAUGCAUGGUUCACCAUGUCGAGGAGAUUUGAUACCGAAGAAAGGUGAUAUUUUCAUCGAUUAUGAGGAAGACAUCGAUGGACAACAUGACAACUCAUAUUGUAGGCAUGUGCGGCUUCUUGUGUUGCUCUGAUAGUUCCAAUGGCAUGAGACUAUGAUACAACCAGUGGGGCAAUAUGGGUGACAUGAUGAGUGGAAUAAGUGACAGCGUGGGGGAUGACGAUGCUAGGCAAGGGUGAUGUAUCAGUGAGGCCUGAUAGGUGAAAUGCAACUGAUGCCCUUGGCUAGAGUGGAUUGAGAGGGUAUGGGUGGUGGUGGGGGUGGAUCCAAGUAGGUUUAGGAAAUUAUAAAGGUUUCAUUCUUUUAGAGUAGUCCCAAUGAAUAACUACUUAGUAGUAACAUGGCAUAUAGACACCAAGUAAGAAAUUAUAGCUCACAACAGUGCACAAUCUCUAAUUGUGGCUACAAUGUAAAUUCUCCAAUCAUCUUUUUCAUGUUUCUCCUCCAAUCAUCUUCCUCCCCACUCCCAUAUUCUGCCUUGUUAUUUGUAAUACCAAUUCCAAUAGAUUUCAUGUUGUUUCUUGAACUUUGGUUCUAGUCGAAGGCCUAGUUUCUUGCAAGACACCCAAUUUCUUUAUGUUCUCAUCUCUAUCAUGUUUAAUGUUGUUGGCACCUCAGCAAAAUGUCCAACAUGGCAUCAUAUUAAAUGGCAUGAAAAUUAUCCUCUUCAUAGAAUAAGGACAGCCCUUGGUCGAUUUAGACUAAAUUUAGAAUUGGUUUUCAAUUUGAGUUAGGUUUGUACCAUCAAGAGUACAUUUCACACACACAAUUCAUGAAAGCACAUAAAUGCAUAUUCACUACCGGAAUCCGCAUCUUUGCCGAGUGUUAAAUACUUUGCUGAGUGUUUAUUUUUGGGCACUCGGCAAAGAAACUCUUUGCCGAGUGUCAAAAAAAAACACUCGGCAAAGACUUCUUUGCCGAGUGUCAAAAAAUAAACACUCGGCAAAGAAAAUUUUAAAUCGAAUUUUAAAGCCCUAAACGAAUUCAAAUCAAAAAGUUUUUAACUACAAAGUUGUAUAACUUCUCAAGAUCUACAACAUUUAUUUUGAUCAUUUCUUCAUUUGACAAAGCAAAAAUAAAUUUGUUUACAAAUUUUACAUCUCUCUCUUAUAGUUUAUGAAAUUACAAGAGAGAUAUAUAAAGAUUUUAGAAAAAUAUUAGAAUCUCCAUGUCGGAUAAAUAUAUGACAAAAUAACCAAAAUAAACUCUGUAGAUCUUGAGAAGUUAUGAAAUUUUGUAUUUGACAACUUUUUCAUUUGAGUUCAUCUUGUCAUGCAAAACCACGUUUUUAAUUGAAAAUUUUAAAAUUUGAAUUUUUUAAACAACCUCGGAUGGAAAAGAUCUCUAAAUAAACUUUGUAGAUCUCAAAAAGUUAUGAAACUUUGUAGUUGACAACUUUUUGUUUUGGAAUCAUCUUGUCAUGCAAAAACUACGUUUGAAUUUCUUAAAUUUAAAAUUCAAAAUUUGUAAACAACCUCGGAUGGAGAAACUUCCUAAAUAAAAAUUGUAGAUCCUAAAAAGUUAUGAAACUUUGUAGUUGACAACUUUUUGAUUUGAAAUCAUUUAGGACCUUAAAUAAUCAUUCUACACAUAAUUUGGUAUAAUAUUUGAGGAACCGAAAUACAAUACAAGCACAAGUCAUAGUGUGGUGCAGUGGUUAAGAGGGAGUACGCACAAGCAAGAGGUCACGAGUUCGAAUUCCAUAAACCGCGAAGAUCCAAAAAAUUCCAGAACUUAGCUGGCAAGAAGAGGCCGUUGGGAGCUGGAAAAAAAGAUUUUUUUUUCUCUUUUUUUUCGGAUUUUUUUGGUUUUUUUUGAAUUUUUUCGUUUUUAUCUUUGCCGAGUGUUUUUAGGCCUUUGCCGAGUGCCACGGACACUCGGCAAAGCGUGAGUGUCCCGUAGUGAUUGUUGUGUUUAAUGUAGUUUUUCCAACGUUUAUAGAAUUUCAAAUUGGCUCCUUUUAACGUGGUUUCAAUUCUAUUUGCGCCAAAUUGAAUUGAUUGAUUUAGGCCUUGUUUAGUUCCCAGAAAAUUUUGCAAAAUUUUUCACAUUCCCCGUCACAUCGAAUCUUUAGGCGCAUGCAUGGAGUAUUAAAUAUAGAUAAAAAUAAAAACUAAUUGCACAGUUUAGUCGGAAUUGACGAGACGAAUCUUUUGAGCCUAGUUAGUCCAGAUUAGACAAUAUUUGUCAAUACAAACGAAAGUGCUACAGUGUCGAUUUCCCAAAAUUUUUUGGAACUAAACAAGGCCUUAAGGAUUUCACACUUACAAGUACAUCCUGAUUCAACAAGUUGAAAGACAGAUCAAGAGCCAGAGCUACCACAACGGUAGUUUCCAGUUGCCUGUAAUGCCACUGAUGAUAUCUCAAAUUUGCUAGGGUAUCUAGCGUUCGAUCCACGAUCAAAUAUAGGCUGUUUGUGUAGAUAUUAAAAUGAAGAGAAAGGGAAUAUAGAUCGAUCCAUCAGAGAAGCAUUGAAGCAGUGCAAUAGAUAUAUGUCAGCAAGUUGGCCGUAAAGCAAAUGCAAGGCCGCAAGGGCAAGGGCGGCAUUGGUAGUUAAUAUAUACUGCCACAAACAGGUGCAUAUAUAAAUUAGGUUUUGAAUAAGCUACAGAUAGAUGCGCGUUAUAUAUACUGCAUUGUAGCAAAAAAGGUUAGUCGUCGUAAUAGCUAGGGCACGUACGAGCAUAAGAAGAAUUAUUGCAAAAAAGCAAAGCGGAGAGGGAGAGCUAGCUACACUGCAGAUCGAUAGGCAGCGCAUGCAGCAGCAGCCUCUGCUCCUUACUACGGCCUUGUUUAGUUCACCCCGAAAUCCAAAAAGUUUUCAAGAUUCUCCGUCACAUCGAAUCUUGUGGCACAUGCAUGAAGGAUUAAAUUUAUACGAAAACAAAAACUAAUUACAUAAUUUGUCUGUAAAUCGCGAGACGAAUCUUUUGAUCCUAGUUAGUUUAUAAUUGGAUAAUAUUUGUCAAAUAAAAUCGAAAGUGCUGCAGUAGCGAAAUCCGAAAUUUUUUCAGAACUAAACAAGGCCUACGUUUUAUUGCUCUUGAAUCUCGACGCAUGGACGAAGCAGCAGCAGCCUCCUCUGCUUGACUUGAAUGGUACUGUACGUACCACAGCAGCUCCACUCAGCUGGAUGAUCAUGCAUCAUGCAGCUAUGGCCGUGGAUUCGUCGUCUCGGUAUCCACGCUAGCUGCUAGAGAUUCUUCGGCUUCUUUAUUUGAUGCAUGCAGCAGCAUUCGCUUUGAUAGAGAAAGAUCGAUAGGUCAGAGGGCUCUGGAGAGGAAUGGGAGGGGACAGCAUGCUACAGACAUGAAGCUUAGCUUGCCACCUAGUAUGUAGUGUAGGCCGGCCGGGAACCCAACUUCCAUGCAUGCGUGCAUCGUGCGUGAAUCCAUGACGGGUCACUAGCGCUUUGCAGCAAGCUCAGAUGCUCACGUACUUGUACGGCCUUGUUUACUUCCCAAAAAAUUUUACAAAAUUUUUCAUAUUUCCCGUCACAUCGAAUCUUUAGACGCAUGUAUGGAGUAUUAAAUAUAGACGAAACUAAAAACUAAUUGCAUAGUUUAGUCGGAAUUGAUGGGACGGAUCUUUUGAGCCUAGUUAAUCUAUGAUUGGACAAUAUUUUUCACAAACAAACAAAAGUACUACAGUACCUGUUUUGCAAAAUUUUUUGGAACUAAACAAGGCCGCAUGGACGUCGUCGGACGACACUGCAGACACAGUAGUAUCCUGCAGGAGGAGCAUUCCAUCCCACUCCAGUAUUCACCCCUUGGAUCGAAAUACCUGCAGGCUGCAGCAAUGCAUGGGAGAAAGUGUAGUUGCAUGCUCUCCGGUCUCUACUGGUAGUACGCAAGAAGUAACUUGCAUGGCGCCAAAUGACAAGCUAGUGUGAAGAGCUUUGUCUGCAGCAAAUUAUAUUACUGUAUUUAUCUAGCGAAAUAUUGAGAAUCAAAAUCUUAGCAACUAGUUUAUUAUAUUCAACCCAAAACCGCAAAUAUAUGCACAUGCAUAUUAUUAUUAAUUAAUCAUGCAUGCAUGCACAAUCUCUCUCGAUCUCUCUCCUGUCUAGCUAGUAUAAGGCCCUGUUUAGUUCCCCACCUAAAAAUUUUUCAUCCAUCCCAUCGAAUCUUUAGACACAUGCAUUGAACAUUAAAUGUAGAUAAAAAAAAAAUAAACUAAUUACACAGUUUAGUUGAGAAUCGCGAGACGAAUCUUUUAAGCCUAGUUACUCCAUGAUUAGCCUUAAGUGCUACAGUAACCCACAUAUGCUAAUGAUAGAUUAAUUAUGCUUAAUAAAUUUGUCUUGCAGUUUCCUGACGAGCAAUGUAAUUUAUUUUUUUAUUAGUUUCUAAAAACCUCUCCCGACAUCCUUCCGACAUAUCCGAUGUGACACUCAAAAAAUUUUCAUCCCCAAUCUAAACAAGCCCUAAAUAUGGUAUAGGUCAGAAAAAAAACAAAAGAGCAAGAAGAGAACAAAAUGAAGAUAUACUCACAUAGUUUCCUCCCUCUCCCUCAUCAUAACCUUAUGAUGUGAUGUCCAAUCAGCACCUUAUCAUAAUGUGGUGCCCAAUCAGCAGUCUACAUCAUAUCGGCACAACAAGGGUUGUGUUACAGGGCAUAUAUGAGCUGAGUGUCUCAUUCCCCGGCCCCCAUCCUCUCUCUCUCUCUCUCUCUCUCUCUCUCUACACAAUGGCCGUACUAGCAGGCAGACAAACAUUGAAACGGUUCUGUCCAUAGUAAAAAGGAAAGAGGUUUGAAGAGGAAAUUCAAGAGAAUGAAUGCAUUCAAGUUUUCCAUGAAUGCAAUGCCAGUGGCUAGGGACAGCAGUGCGCAAUAACGUGUCCUCCCAUCCUGUCCCUCCCUCUCUCUCUUCUAUUCCCUUCUGCGCAUUCAAGUAGUAGUAUCUAUCUUGCCCUCUUCCAAAUAAGAUAUCUGUAAAGAUUUAUCUGCAUGUAAGGGCUUCCAAAUCCCCACUAGUAUACAUAUAUAUGACCAUACUAAUUAAUAAAAUGUGACGUCUCACACAUGCAAGUGUUAUGCAUUUUAAUAUCUCUAUGAUGCCAUUUUAGCUGUCGACUAUUUCAUCUCACUACCAUUGUAACCUCCAACAUGGUUCACUUCACUACUACUAUACAUAUAUGAUUUUUACAAACACGUCCUAAUUUUUUGAGGGGGUGCUUAACUUAGCAAACCAUUCCUAACUAGUUCCGAGAGCAUUGUAGCUUACAAAUAAACUAUCCAUGGAAAUAUAUUUUCAGGGCCACUCUUAUAUAUCCAUUUUCAGGGGCACUCUUAUAUUUCCAUAUGGAUGAAUCUGAUGUAGGCAAGAGCAAGCUAAAGAGGGUGAAAACAGUACAUUAGAACACAAAAUACUUCUUCAGGCCAUUCACAUUUCAAUUGUUGGCUCGGCCUUUCUGUUCUGUCGUAGAUCGUUUCUCCCUUUGUGGAAGAACCAAAGUUGAUGCCAAACCGAGUGAAUUAAGCCAAUAGUGAAGCCACAAUGUGUCCACAUCUGAUUGUUAACACGCCAGAUGGAGCUAGCAGUGUACAGUACUUACAAAUGAGAUGUGUGUGUGUGUGUGUGUGUGGGUGGGGGGGGGGGGGGGGUGUUGUGGAAGGUAGUCAGCAUGAAACCAUUUUUUUGAACAAGAAAUUCAUGAUCAUAUUUAUACAAAAGAACUUUCAAAUUUGAAUGCGAUGUGUUGUACGUCUUCUAAUACAAAAUCUACUACACACUUGGCUAUCUUUUUGAUAUAAUAUCGCAAGAUUUGAAUCUUUGAAUGUGUGUGUCCAUGCUUUAUAAAAGAGAAAUAGGGAGCAAUGUGUAUGGAUAAACUUUUCAAAAACUAUACCAAAUUAGGAGAAAUUAUGUGACUUUAUCUAUGAAGAAAUAGACACCAAAAUUCACAUGAACAAGGACUUGAUUGAACCCCAGUGGUCUCUAGGCUUAUUACAUCCACACUCUCAACUAACUAGGUUAGCUACACUCUCAACUAACUAGGUUAGCUAGGAUGUUUGUAAAUGUAAUAAAAAAUGUGUAAAUAUCCUCAUUUAAGUUUAGUAGGAUGGAAUAUCUGUGCAUGCAUGCAAUUUACAUGAGCUCUCUCCCAGCAUGGAACUAUAUCUCUUUCUAAACUUAAUAAUAAAGAGUGAAAUUCUUUUCUUCAGUCUCUCACUCUCUCCUCCAUCCACCCGCCCCUCAUGUAGUCUCUCUUUUACUCACUGUCACCCUUCUUGCUUUGAGUUGGAGGUGCAAAACUUCCGUUGGUGCCACACCACUCAUGUAAUGGUCUAGCCGUCGGAGCCAUUCAUGUUGCGGCAUGCGUGUGAAUGGUGUGGUUCACUUUCCACCUUUUUAUCAACUUACUACAAGUGAAGCACACACAAUAAGGACAUAUUUAAGUUGAUUUAAUCCUCUCUGUCAUUUAUCAGACAAGAUUAAUUCCUGUUUUAUUACAACAUUAACAUUUAUAAUGGGCAUUAGAAUAUGUUGGGCUCCAAUAUAAUUAAACCCAACAAAAAUAUCUAACUCAUUAUCAUCGCCACAAAACGGCACAAUAAUUGUACAUUCCACUGCAAUGGUCAUGCUUGUUAGUAUCCCAAAGAAAGCCAAAGCUAGCAACCCUAAUUAACAUGCAACUUUUUUCUCUCCAUACAAAUUUAUAUUAACCUGCUGUUAGUUCAAAAGUUUGCAUCAACUUUUUUUUCACAUAGCUAGCCAGCUUUUACUUGUGGCAGAGCUUGUAAUUUAACUCUGUGCGCGACCACCGCCAAUUUAUUUCCCAUGGUCAGUAGUAAGACUGUAGCUAGCACUGGUGCCGUUGGUCAAAGAGGAUCACUGCAAAGCUCUGGCCGUUUUGAUGUGCACCAAUUUGUCUCUCACACGCUCCCUUUCUCUGUCGGCCCGCCUUCAUUCAUCUCUCGCUCAUUACUGCAUGCAUAUAUGCGUUGUUGCUUUCACAUACGAUCGACCAUUGGAUCGGCAGCUGCGCAUGCAUGGCUGUCCAUGAUGCUCCCUAGCCCUAGCAGCUAGCUAGCUAGCUAGCUGGCUCUAUAUAACUGGAGGAUCUAGCCAGCUCCAGCUUCCAUCCCAGUCCCAUCCUCGUCCUAGCAAACCUCAAAGACAUAGACUAUACGAACACACGGCAUUUGGCAGCUGAUAGAUCGAGUUGUGUGUGUGCGUGUGUGGGAGAUUGCCUGCGAGCUACAUACAUCAGUAUCUGCAGUAUGUCUAUCUAGCUAUAUUUCCCAGCAAUAUUUUUAGCUCAUGACAGGCUCUGCUGAUCGUUGCAUAUAUGAUUUGCAGGUAGCUAGCUAGAACAACUUCUUAGAACACAUAUAUAGCUAGCUGUCGUCGUUCUGCAGUUAGCACACACACAACCAAGCUACCUAGGAUCGAGAUAGCUAGAGGCGUUGAAUCCAUUGAUCGAAUCGCGAUCCGAUCCAUCCGAGCUAGCAUUAGCAAUAGCAUCGCCGUCCACAUGCCGCAGACACCUUCGACCCGCUGGUGCCCGACGCCGGAGCAGCUGAUGAUCCUGGAGGAGAUGUACCGGAGCGGCGUGAGGACGCCCAACGCGGCGGAGAUCCAGCAGAUCACGGCGCACCUGGCCUACUACGGCCGCAUCGAGGGCAAGAACGUCUUCUACUGGUUCCAGAACCACAAGGCCCGCGAGCGCCAGCGCCUCCGCCGCCGCCUCUGUGCCCGACACCAGCAGCAGUACGCUCAGCAGCAGCAGCAGCAGGCCACCGCAGCAGCGCCGUCUUCGAGCCCUCUUCCGUCUCCAGCAGCAGGCGGCAGCAGCGCUGGUGUGCAUCCGGCGGUGAUGCAGCUGCACCAGCACCACCACCCAUACGCAACCAACUUCGUGCCACACCUGGUUAGGAAUUUUAAUUGUUCACGUUCCAGUAUUAUUCUAGCUAAGAAUCUUCAAAGUAUCAAUUUUAAUUUUGCAGAAGCUUGCUAUAAUUGCAUGCUUGAUAAUGUAUCUAUAUGUCCAUAUGUUAAUCAAUCGAUUAUUAGGGCUACUUGGGACAGCAGGCGGCGACUGUUCCGCCAGUGCUGAACCCAGCUGCUGCCGGCAUGGUGGACCUUGCAGCUGCAGGAGCAGGAGCAGGAAAUAAGGCUACUGGUGCAGGUGGUGGCUAUGGAGGUGGAGCUGCCUUAUACAACAGCUGCAGCAGCAAUCAGCUGGAGGAGUGGGACCCCGCUGAGGCCAUGGAGCACUGCAACGCUAGCUGCGGUGCCGCAUCGGGCAGCUCCGACGAGGGUGGCGCAGCUCAUCUCCAGCUGCCGCCAUGCUGCCGCCGCCCUCUCAAGACCUUGGACCUGUUCCCCACUAAGAGCACUGGGCUCAAGGACGAGUGCAGCAGCUCCAAGUCCUCCUCUUGCUCCACAUCCACCAACUAAUUAAUCAUUAUUAUUGAAUCCCUUUAGUUUCUAUAUAUCUUGCUUCUAGUAGUUCUUUGAUUUGCUAGCUAGCUAGCUAGAGUUAGUAGAUUUGGUCUUCUCAAGUGUGCCAUUAUAUUGUUGUGUUGUGUGUGCUCGCAAAAAAAUUGUUGUGUUGUGUGUCACGCUACCUCUACUUUGCUUGUUAGUGUAACUACGUUUAAGUUUCAGUGCUCGACUUCAAUCUAUGUGUAUCUAUCUUAAUUCAUGCAAUGGAUUUGUUUUAGCAGACUGUGACCUAUAUGCUCCAUUUACUCAAUAGCGAUGAGCGAAUGAACGGAUCGGAUGACUUAUAAUAUAUGGCUAUAUAUGGUUUACCUUCUUCCUCUUCUCUAGUGAUGAUUCCUUUAUUAUUGAGAGUAUAUAAAGUCUAGUCGUUAUCUUCUCCUAAAGUUAAUUGCAAUGUGAAGGGAUGAAGACUAAGAAAUUGCCACAUCAACUCAGAUUAUUCAUGCAACUCCAUAAGCAUGCACUGGACAAUGAUUUUUUUGAGUCAAGAGUGUAUGUGAAUAAAUCCCCACACACCACAACAUUUCAAAGGAAAAAAAAGACUUGCCACUUGCAUGGGAGUGCUAAUCAUUCCUUUGAAUAAGAAAUACAUUUUAUUAGGAUGUGGGAGUUCUAAUCAUUAUUUUGAAUCAACCAUACAUCACCAAAAGCGGCAUUUCUCAAUUAUCAGGACUCAAGGAUGUAAGGAUGUGCUUCAGUCUCCCACCAAAUUUCAGAAUAUUUUGACAAAAUUUGAGUAUUCCUUCCAAAUUUUCAUAUGAUCGUAAAAUUUAUCCACAUACUUUCAAAUUUCUAAAGCUCUAAUAAUUUUAUUAAUACAAAUAUUAUUUUCGCAAUUGUUUCAAAUGAAAACAAAAUAAUGCCACUCCAUUAGCCUUGGUCGAUUUUAGUCCAUUUUGUUCCAUCCUCCGUCAUACCUUGUUUCAGCCCAUGCACCUUCUCAUUCCUUCACGGCUGAAAUGAGACAGGAGAGAGGAGGUAAAGAAAUUGGUUGAAAUCAGCACAAUGCUAAGGUAUUUUAUUUAUUUUUGAUUAAAAAUAAUUACUUCUUGAGCUCUAAAACGUAUAAGAACAUUUCAAAGUACAUUUAGGACAUGAAUAACUUGGAAAGUAUGCAUGUGCAACCAUGAUUACUAAGAAGAAUAAACAAUCCACCAUUCAUGACUCUGUUUAAUAGAUUUACAUAUCAAUGUAAAUUCUAUAAAUAAUUUAGUAAUUUAUUAUUUUUUAUGUUGCAGAAGACAUGUGUUUAUAGUUAGCACUGAUUUCUUGCAGCGACAAUUUACAUAAGAAACCAGCUCUAACUAGAAUAGGGAGCACCGUAGCUCAUGGUCACUUCAAAUCCAUUUGUAGGGGUAGUUUCUUUAAGAAAACUGUACCCUAAAAAAUAAUUUCUAGGUCUUAUGAGUGAAACAACGCUAGAAAUUUCUAGGGGUGUUUCUCUUAAUAGAACUGCCCCUAAAAAAUAAUUUAGAGGACUAGUCCAUUAUCUUAGUGAACCAUCCCUGAAAACUUCAUAUAAAUCCUCCUUUCUUCCUUGCAACAACUCUAUAUAUCACUAGGAGGCGGUGAUGCUUAAGUACUAGUUUUUUUUGACAACAUACAUGUUGAUAUUGUGGAUUGCUUGUUUUGGGAUGCCAUUUCAAUUUUUUCAGUAUCUUUUCUGUCUUAGCAGAAAGUUAGGAGAUCUUCAAUAGCAGUUGUAUGAAUAGCUAUGUUGUUAAGAAAUUGUUCCAACAAGAUGAGAUCAUCAUUCCUUCUCAAAGUUAAAGUCAAAAAUUCUCCCAGAGAGGAUAGAAAUACAUAUAAUAUUUUAGGAUCUGUUGGAUAAAGCACAACUCAUAAAAACUUACUAGAAAAGCAAGCCCAUGAGCUUGAACUUGAAAUUAUGGUUUGAACAGCACAACUCAUAGAUUAAAUUUCUAGAUUGCAUUAAGAAUUACAACUUUGGUACAGGCCAUGUUGACAUCCGAUGUUGAUUGAAAAUUCUAAACUAUAAAUUUCAAAAUUUGAGAGCUACAAACAAACUUUCUUAGACUCUAAAUAGUUUCAGUAAAAAGUUAUCAUAUAUGAAGUGGUAGAUUACGUCAAGCCCUGUAAUUUUGCUAUAAAGCUCAUCUUCAUCCAACUUCAUAUUAAAAAGUUUUAAGUUUUGUCAAACAAUAAUUUCUAAAUAUGGGCCACUUAAGAGUGCUACAUCAAUUAAUUGAUCUCUACAGCUGGCAUUAUUAGGAAGCUACUAUGUGAAAAUAACCAAUGAUAGGUGUGUGUUUGCCUAGGGACUCUAUGUACAUCUCAGUUAAUCAUGGCAUAUAUCUUCUAAAAUUACUUUGUAGUAAUGCUCGUGGUGUUGUUUCACUGAUGUUGUCUAGCAUAUGGGCUGGUUUGACCCUCUUGCAAUGGUUCAUCACUCGAGCUAGUCAUUUGUCUAGGGUGGACCAUGGAAUAUGGUGAAUUGGUGAGUGAUUUUUCUAGAUAUAAAGGAAACUUUAGUUUGAGAUGAAACAUUAUUGUGACCUCUGCUUAAGCUAGCUAUACACAACUAAAAUAAAAGAAUAAAAAUGAUAACAUGCAAGAAGAGUUUGACUCCACUAUUCUCUAAGCAAACUUAGAAUCUCAUACUCAACAUCCAGCUCAAACCACCAAUAUAACAAAUCUACAAUCUAACUUUUGAGAAAUUAAAGCUUAACAUCUUUGCAUCUAUUUGAAUGUAACAUGAAGUGAGGUGGUCAAAGUCCACAAAAGCUUUAUCAUCCUCUUGCAAAAGAAGUUGAUAUGCAUCAAAAGCAUCUCACAUGUAUAUGAAGUCCACUAGGUGUCCUCUAUUAACUAACCAACCAACAUGUAGCACAUGACUAGCAAUCACAAAUGAUGACUGAUAUGACUAGACAAAAUGAUCGUCAUUCAAUUGAGCCAUAGUUAGCUUCUUUCACAAGCCACAACAAUUUGGACUAUCUGCACAUGUGCUCAAGAUACCACUAGGAGAAGAUGUGUUGCUAAUAACACCUAAGGUCUCUCCCAAUGCAACACUUCCCUUGAGGAAAAGACAUCCAAGGAUAUCAUCAUUGCAUGACCGAUUGAAAGUUAUAGAGUUUUCUCUUAGAGACAUCCACACCCAAGUAGGAUUGUGAACACAUUAUGGAGAUGUGUCAUGUGUGUGAUGAAUGAUUGACACAAAUAUGAGAGGUUUGAGGCUUUCUUUGCUGAGUCAUAUUUCAUAUGUACUUGAUUAUGUUAAUGGUUAACCAGAGGUGUAUAGUGUGUUGUGUUUUGUUGUGCAACAUGUCUCUUGGCUUGUAAUGUGUAAGUGCUGAGAGCGCCAAGACGGUCGACAACAAUAGAGAAGGUCAAGUGUAAAGUCCAUGUGUGAUUGGUCGGGAGUGGUGAAGGACGGAUGAGAAGGCAUGGAUCAAGGGACUAGAGGCUAGAGGACAGACAAUGUGCAACUUACACUAGGCACAUGAAGAGCAAUAGUACAUGGGGAGACAACAUCAACCAAGUCAAGGAGGAGGAUGGUGUUGUGGCACUUGGCAAAGGUCAAACACGCAUCUACAUGGGUGAUGGACAUGGUGUCAGUCAAGUCAAUAAGGAAGGCAAAGGAAAGAGCUUGGCGGAGGUUGAACACAUGUUGAAAAAUCAUGGAGUCAUGCUUGGUGAGGUGUGCAUGAGGGUUUGCUAGUUUUGUCCUCAAAACUAGGGAUGGAGAGUUUGCUUGUUUGGACCUUGUUGAUAUUUCUUAACAUCAAGUUGUCAUCCCUAGCAAUGAUGCCAUAAAUGUCUUAUUGGUAUUUAUUCGUUUUCACUUGUAAUUGAGGAAACAUUAAAGUAAUCCGCAAGCACACAAAUUAUAUAUCAUUGUAGCAUUUCACCCAGGAGUAUUCCAUGUAUCGUUAUUUAUAUUUUUACCACAGGGAAUGACGGGCAAAGAAAUUAUAUUGAUAACUAAUAUUCUACUCACAACAUGGGUAAGAUAGAAAAUAAGAUAUAUAAAAGGCAAUGAUCAUUGACAAUAAAUAGUUAAUCACUCAGAGCACUCCUUUCUAUGGCAUUAGCAUGACUAAGUAGAUAUUAGAGAGACAAUUCCUAAGUCAUCCUUAAUUACAAUUCAAUGCAUAUGAUGAUUAGUGCAACUACACUUAGUAGUCAUGGAUAAGAUCAACUUUAUAUCUACACAUAAGGGAUAUUACUAAGGAAGAUUAAGAAUAGGGCAUGUCUUCCUUUGUAACUAGAUCCUACUUGUUGACCUAUAUUCGGGGAGUGGACUACAUAGGACUCAACAGGAGUGUCACAUCCGUGAUGUAAAAUAUAGGGUGUAUCCAUUGGUAAACAAUGUAUAAGCACCACGCUUACAUAAUAUCGACCACUCACACCAUGAUCAUUAGUGUGAGUGCUAUAUGAACUUAUGCUUGAAUAAAAUGAUCAUCUAGCUAUACUAAGUAUAUAAUCAAAGUAGACAAUGAACAUGAUAAUUAGGAACAUGAAUGAUAUUAAGAACAAUAUCAUACCAAUUGUAGCAAACAUAAAAAAGUAAUGAGACAUACAAAAGAGAGGGGGUACAAAGGCUAUACCAAGCCACACUCUUGACACGAUCAGGAAUCUAGGCAAAGCUUGCAUCUCUCUAGAUCUAACCUAGCUAGGUAUGCCCUAGAAUAUGGUGUAGUUUUGAGGAUUAGGGUUUCUGCCUUCUGCUUCUAACUUGAAUGGCUUGAAUGCCUGAGAGAGGGGGUAGGGGCUAUUAGAUAUACCCCAGAGCAUCAAUUCUUAGCUCUCAGAUCGUACAGACUUGAAAGAACAAUGUAGAUGCAACCUAGGAGGUGGUGGAG